UCUCCAGCUUGCUGGGGGGAUUAGUGGCGAACGGGUGAGUAACACGUGAGUAACCUGCCCUUGACUCUGGGAUAAGCCUGGGAAACUGGGUCUAAUACUGGAUACGACCUUCCAUCGCAUGGUGGUUGGUGGAAAGCUUUUGUGGUUUUGGAUGGACUCGCGGCCUAUCAGCUUGUUGGUGGGGUAAUGGCCUACCAAGGCGACGACGGGUAGCCGGCCUGAGAGGGUGGACGGCCACACUGGGACUGAGACACGGCCCAGACUCCUACGGGAGGCAGCAGUGGGGAAUAUUGCACAAUGGGCGCAAGCCUGAUGCAGCGACGCCGCGUGAGGGAUGAAGGCCUUCGGGUUGUAAACCUCUUUCAGUAGGGAAGAAGCGAAAGUGACGGUACCUGCAGAAGAAGCGCCGGCUAACUACGUGCCAGCAGCCGCGGUAAUACGUAGGGCGCAAGCGUUAUCCGGAAUUAUUGGGCGUAAAGAGCUCGUAGGCGGUUUGUCGCGUCUGCCGUGAAAGUCCGGGGCUUAACUCCGGAUCUGCGGUGGGUACGGGCAGA
rnacentral:rRNA from 1 species